rnacentral:rRNA from 1 species
UACGAAGGGUGCAAGCGUUACUCGGAAUUACUGGGCGUAAAGCGUGCGUAGGUGGUUUGUUAAGUCUGCUGUGAAAGCCCCGGGCUCAACCUGGGAAUGGCAGUGGAUACUGGCAAGCUGGAGUGCGGUAGAGGGUAGUGGAAUUCCCGGUGUAGCGGUGAAAUGCGUAGAGAUCGGGAGGAACACCAGUGGCGAAGGCAGCUCGCUGGGACGUGACUGACGCUGAGACGCGAAAGCGUGGGGAGCAAACAGG